rnacentral:snRNA from 1 species
AGAGAAUCGCUUGAACCCAGGAGGCGGAAGUUGCAGUGAGCCGAGAUCACGCCACUGUGCUCCAGCCUAGGUGACAGAG